GGCUUCCCGCUCAGACCUACCUCGGCCAUUCACCGGCUGUGCAUCCUUGGGUUGGUCUCCUCAUCCCUCUGAGCCUCGUUUCGUCAAGUGUACGGUGUUAUUCAGGGGACCAGCACUCUCCAGCCACACUGCAUGGUUUGAAGCUGUGUUUUCAAGGACACCCUCCUCCAGCUCUCCACUCUGAAGAUGUUUCCCCCAUCCCUGCACUGCUGGUUGGGUCACCUUGGCCAUGAGAUCCUGAUUUUCCAUCCCAUUCUAAUUUGGAAGAGGCACCAGACAGCUUCUCUGUCCCCUCAAACGCACAAGGAGGUCAUGUGAGCACAUAGCAAGAUGGCGCCAUCUAUAUGCGAAGAGAAGAG